CUGACGAGUGGCGGACGGGUGAGUAAUGCUUGGGAACUUGCCUUUAGGUGGGGGAUAACAGUUGGAAACGACUGCUAAUACCGCAUAAUGUCUACGGACCAAAGGGGGCUUCGGCUCCCGCCUUGAGAGAGGCCCAAGUGAGAUUAGCUAGUUGGUGGGGUAAAGGCCUACCAAGGCAACGAUCUCUAGCUGUUCUGAGAGGAAGAUCAGCCACACUGGGACUGAGACACGGCCCAGACUCCUACGGGAGGCAGCAGUGGGGAAUAUUGCACAAUGGGGGAAACCCUGAUGCAGCCAUGCCGCGUGUGUGAAGAAGGCCUUCGGGUUGUAAAGCACUUUCAGUUGUGAGGAAAGGUUGGUAGUUAAUACCUGCCAGCUGUGACGUUAACAACAGAAGAAGCACCGGCUAACUCCGUGCCAGCAGCCGCGGUAAUACGGAGGGUGCGAGCGUUAAUCGGAAUUACUGGGCGUAAAGCGCACGCAGGCGGCUUGUUAAGCUAGAGGUGAAAGCCCCGCGCUCAACGUGGGAACUGCCUUUAGAACUGGCAGGCUAGAGUCUUGGAGAGGGGAGUGGAAUUCCAGGUGUAGCGGUGAAAUGCGUAGAUAUCUGGAGGAACAUCAGUGGCGAAGGCGGCUCCCUGGCCAAAGACUGACGCUCAU
rnacentral:rRNA from 1 species